rnacentral:rRNA from 1 species
CCUACGGGAGGCUGCAGUGAGGAAUAUUGGUCAAUGGGCGCGAGCCUGAACCAGCCAAGUAGCGUGAAGGAUGACUGCCCUACGGUUUGUAAACUUCUUUUAUAAAGGAAUAAAGUGCGGCACGUGUGCCUUUUUGUCUGUACUUUAUGAAUAAAGAUCGGCUAACUCCGUGCCAGCAGCCGCGGUAAUACGGAGGGACCGAGCGUUAUCCGGAUUUAUUGGGUUUAAAGGGAGCGUAGAUGGGUUGUUAAGUCAGUUGUGAAAGUUUGCGGCUCAACCGUAAAAUUGCAAUUGAUACUGGCAGUCGUGAGUACAGGUGAGGUAGGCGGAAUGCGUGGUGUAGCGGUGAAAUGCGUAGAUAUCACGAAGAACGCUGAUUGCGAAGGCAGCUUACUAAACUGCCACUGACAUUGAUGCUCGAAAGUGUGGGUAUCAAACAGGAUUAGAUACCCCUGUAGUC